CCUACGGGUGGCAGCAGUGAGGAAUAUUGGUCAAUGGGCGGAAGCCUGAUCCAGCCAAGUAGCGUGCGGGAUGCAGGCCCUACGGGUCGUAAACCGCUUUUGCACGGGGAUAACACCCUCCACUUGUGGAGGUCUGCAGGUACCGUGCGAAUAAGGGCCGGCUACUUCCGUGCCAGCAGCCGCGGUAAUACGGAAGGCCCGAGCGUUAUCCGGAUUCAUUGGGCUUAAAGGGAGCGUAGGCGGGCGUUAAAGUCAGCGGUAAAAUCGCGCGGCUCAACCGCGCCCCGCAGUUGAAACUGGACGCCGUGAGUUCACAACAGGCAGGCGGAAUUCGGGGUGUAGCGGUGAAAUGCAUAGAUAUCACGAGGAACCCCGAUUGCGAAGGCAGUCUGCCGGGGUGCGACUGACGCUGAGGCUCGAAGGUGCGGGUAGCAAACAGGAUUAGAUACCCCAGUAGUC
rnacentral:rRNA from 1 species